UCCCCAAACCACCUCACCGCAUAAUCUUAAGAAGUCACCUCACUCUCUUGACCACAGGCCCCUCAUUUGUGGAGGGGGAUUUGAAACCAUUUAUCUCAUAAGGUUACCGUGCAGAUUAAAUAAGACAAUGUAGGAAAAACUGUUAGCACAAUAGCAGGUAAAACUGAAACAGAUGGUUACUAAGGAGACUAUCAGCUUUAUGACCUGAAGAAAGCAAAAUUUCACCCCUGGAAAAAAGUCUGCUACCUCACAAGAAAAUACCAAAUCUAAGGAUUCGGUCUCGUGAUAUUAUUAAAGAAAUAAUCCUGAAAGUUUAAGAAUGGCACAUCAAAAGUAGUCAUACCAUUUGCAGCAAAAUACCUGCCAACCCCAGGCAAGAAAAAAUUCUCCAGAAGAUUGCCUUUGGACUUGAUAUGGAACAUGGCCUUUUCUGUUUCUACAGCAGACAGCCUUUGAAUGUGAACUGGAACAUCAGCUCUCCUGGGUCUCCAGCCUGUUGGCCCAACCUACAGAUUUCGGACUUGCUAGUCUCUAUAAUCAUACAGAAUGAAGAAUAACACACUAGGCUGGCAGAACCAGGCUGCAUUUAUGCAGACAAGACAGUCCCUUGUGCCCAACAAAUAGUUUUGAUCUCUUACACGUGAGGGUAUUGAGAUUCAGGAGAGUUAAGUGAUAUGAACAAGUCCACCAUGUUCAAUGUGGCACGACAAGUCUUUGGAGUGUGGGUACCUGCCCAACCACGACUUCACCCAUAGAAAGGAUACAAAGUAUGCUGGCUUCAGCUAGGGUUUUCUUGGAAGUGCAAUUUUCCACCUCCUGUGCAUUGACAUCGGUUUCUUUUUAAACGUCUUUAUCAUUUAUCUUUCUUUUUCAUGACUGACUUUAGUGUGUGUAACAUGAAAGGGUAGGAACGGAAUGCUCCCCAUGUGGCAAGACAAGCCACCCUCUGCGUGAAUGUGACAGGUAGAGUUAUACUGUGUCAUUCUUCACCAAGCACAGAGAAGGACAUAUUUCUCAUUACUACUGCAGUAUCAAAAUACAGCACCACCUGGGCGUGAGACAGAACAGGAAGGAAGAAAGAAGAAAUGCAAGAUUGGGAAUUCUCUACUUGAUUUGCCAUCACUAUCAAUCUCUCUGAGGGCAAAGCACAGGGUCUCCGGGGCCUUCCUAUUUUUCUUCCUCUCAUCAAGCUCUGCCCUAUCCCUCCAUGUGCUCUGUAGGUGUGCAGGAAACGCUAAAGGAAUUGAAGAAGAAAUACCCAAAUCAUACCCUAGGUUCCACUUAUCAAAGGUCAACAGCCGCUGUUGCUCAUUCAGUAAAGAUAACAAGGAAUUUCUCCCAGAAGAUGGCUUUGAUUUAUGGAAACCAUGUGCUGUUAAAAGGCAGAUUAUUUUUAUUUCAGUACUUGAUCCUUUGGUGGCUCAGGGCAAACAGCAUGUCUUGGAGUGAAGUAUAUUGGAGUUAAAUCUCAGGUCCACCAGUCACCAAAUCCUCUACAUGCUAACUCUCUCUUCUGUAAAAUCAAUUGCUAUUUCACAGAAUAAUUGGACUAAGAAAGACAAUAUAUAAAAAGCUAAUAAUAGAGAUACAAUAAAAUGUUUGUUUUCUUUCCUUCACUACUUCUCAUCUCCUUCUUCCCAGCCUGGCUCUAUUAUUUCUCUUUUCUUCAAAAGAGGGAAAAGAUGGGGAGAGAAAGUCGAAAGGAGUGACAUAAAAGAAAAGAUGAAGAUUAGUCCUCAGAGGAAAAGGGGCAAAAAAACCUCUUUAGAUCUCCAAUAUUUCUCAGAGCAAAUCCUAAAUCAACAGAAGCCUUAGGGGGCCACGCUACAGCCAUUAUUUCUUUUCAUUCCUUGUGUUACUAAACACAUGGAAUCAACUAUAAUACAUCAGAAUAGUUUGUUUUACUUUACAGCAGUGAAGUCAAAACCCACAUCCAAAACAAUGUAUGAACACUUUUCUGCUUACAUCAGGGUACGAUGUUAAACCAAAGAUGGUCCCUGUUUGGCAAAACAGCCAAGAAAAUCAGCACAAGUCCCAUAACAGAAAGAUCAAGCAUAAAAGAAGUCAGACCAUAAGAACAAGAGUCUUUUAAAAAAAAAAAAAAUCAACCAUCAUUGGUAACACCAGCGUUUCAGAUCUUCGAACUACCUGUGACAAGGGUCACCAGGGCCAUCAUGCCUGUCGUUGCUAAGAUCACAGCUGCCAAAUCCUUAUUGCCAUCUACUCUGCCUAAAAGCGCUCUGUCGUUAUGAACAGGAUUUCUGUUUACACUGCCCAGCAGGGCUGAAGAAAGAGAAAAAGCUGAAAGAUGAAUUAGCUCUCUGCUUAAAGAAAAGUGUGAUCCAAAACCUUGACCAAAGAGCCACAACUGCAAGUCUGAUAGAAUGGAUGGGCAAGACGGGGAGGCUUUACGAUACUUUUUUGUUUGAAGAGUUGUGAAUAGAACAGUGUACCUGCCUGGCAACCAAGAAUAUAACUACAAUGCAAUGAGCUGGCACACAUGGUCACAGAGUUGGUUCCGGAAAGAACAUGCUUCUAGGAUGGCAAGACCUCCUGCACAGAAGCUGGCAGAAGAGUUGCUUAAACAACAACAGUUCAGUGACUCAUCUGUGUUUUCACAACACGUUUGUACCAGCACCCAUGUCUAUUUGUAGCCUGACAAUAAAGACCCUAUAUGAACUAUCUCUGAGCUGUCUGCUUUAAAAGCAAGGACACUAUUCUCAGUUGACUCACUUGAGCUACUUGUGCUUUUGAGAAUAACCCGUUGCCACAUUUAUGAAGGCAUGUGAUAUAACUGAAGAUUACUUCAGGCUGUGCCAAUGUCCUGCUUAGUUCUGAUCUAGUGUUUAGAAGGUCAAAUAGACCCAGAGGGCUUUACCCCCCUCAAUAAUCCCCUAUAUACCACUACUGGUAUCUCUUGGGGACAUAGAAAAAGAAUGCCUUAUCAACACCCUAGACUGUAAAUACCAUCAGAAUGGGGAUUAUUAUCUGUUUUGGCUACUUAUCUGUAUCCCCAGCACUUAAAAUAGUGUCUGCCACACAGUAAACACCCCAUAAAUACUUGCAAAGGAAUAAAUCAACCUCUGUCAUGGGCCUGGGAAGUGAUCUGGGACUUAGCACCAAAUCCACAAAAUAUUUUGUUGUCCUGAUGCCAAGUCAAGAUUUCUACUUCAGAGCAUCAAAACUUCUGUAUGUUCAAGUACAGGUCCUUUCAGUAUUGAGAUACUUUUCAACAUAUUAAAUCACCUUACUCCCUCGUCCUUAAAAUAGAUGAAACCAACAGAAAUAUCAACCUAAGUCAUCCAUCAUCAUAAGAAAACCUAGUACAAUGACUA